rnacentral:lncRNA from 1 species
AAGGAUUUAAGAACACAAAUAUUAACAUGCAAAAAUAAAGUUGAUUCAAUUGACAAACGAAAANAAUGNAUGAAUGGAUGUUGUUGGGGGUUUACAAUUUCAUCUAUUCCGCUCUCUCUUACAUACUACCCUUGAAUAUUAGUUUGAUUGAUUCAAUUGUUAUGCGACUUUCUUAGCCUCCCCUUAACCCGAUCCCUCAGCAAAAAGGGCCUAAUAUCAAUUACUGGCUUGCUAUCCCUAGCCUCCCCUAGUAAUUAAUAUCGCAUUAUAAACAGAAGUUA